GUCCACGCCCUAAACGAUGUCAACUGGUUGUUGGGGUUUGACACUCUCAGUAACGAAGCUAACGCGUGAAGUUGACCGCCUGGGGAGUACGGCCGCAAGGUUAAACUCAAAGGAAUUGACGGGACCCGCACAAGCGGUGGAUUAUGUGGAUUAAUUCGAUGCAACGCGAAAACCUUACCUACCCUUGACAUGUCCUGGAGGCUCCAGAAAUGGGGCUGUGCCCCGAAAGGGAACGGGAACACAGGUGCUGCAUGGCUGUCGU
rnacentral:rRNA from 1 species